GACGUAGGGCGCGAGCGUUGUCCGGAUUUAUUGGGCGUAAAGAGCUCGUAGGCGGCUUGUCGCGUCGUCCGUGAAAACCCAUGGCUCAACUGUGGGCUUGCGGUCGAUACGGGCAGGCUGGAGUUCGGUAGGGGAGACUGGAAUUCCACGUGUAGCGGUGAAAUGCGUAGAGAUGUGGAGGAACACCAAUGGCGAAGGCAGCCUUCUGGGCCAACACUGACGCUCAUGCACGAAAGCGUGGGGAGCAAACAGG
rnacentral:rRNA from 1 species